CUUCUUUCAGUAUAAAAUACAUUCCCAGUUCAUUGACAAGAUAUAAAUUUUUGAAUAAAGACUAUCCAGUUCAAGUGAUGAAGUGACUGCAGCUUGCUGGACCUAUAUACAGACUGUGAAAGGGCAUGUAAUGUAGAAUUGCUGCCAAGAAUUGAAAGGGCGAGGGAAACUCAGUUGACAUUGAGAUAUGCUUUGGGAUGAGAGCCAAUCAAAGUCUAACAUUCUGUACCAGCUUGUGAAAGAUGGGAAGAUGCUUAUAAUAGCUGUAACAAUCGACGUUGCUUAUGUCCCAAAGUAUUCAUAUUACUGUGCAAAUAUAGGAAACUUCUGAAUGAAUGAGCUGAAUGCAUCUGAACAGUAGCUUCCCUCCUUUCAUGGAAAUCUAAGAACCCUGAAAUCCUAAGUAAAUAAAUGAAAGUGAGGAUUGGAGUGGAUUGGACUGGACUGGAUUGGAUUGGUAGUGCUGAGGCAAGAUUUCCCCAGAGAUCUUUUUUUCUGAGAAGAAAUGUGGAACCAGAGGGAAAAGUUAAAAUUAAAAAUUCAAGAACUGUUGUGAAGAGGCGGUGAAAAUCAGCCUAUCCCACCAAACAAGCUAAAGGCUUACCAAGAAUGAGGCACUGUUUCUUCUUGCACAGAAAUCGUUCUCUUAUUAUUGUUGCAAUGAUUCUUUCAAUUGUAUGCCUCUAGCAGGAUUUAAUGUUUUCAAUUGAUUGUA